rnacentral:rRNA from 1 species
GAUGAACGCUGGCGGCGUGCCUAAUACAUGCAAGUCGAGCGAACAGACGAGGAGCUUGCUUCUCUGACGUUAGCGGCGGACGGGUGAGUAACACGUGGAUAACCUACCUAUAAGACUGGGAUAACUUCGGGAAACCGGAGCUAAUACCGGAUAAUAUUUUGAACCGCAUGGUUCAAUAGUUAAAGACGUUUUUUCUGUCACUUAUAGAUGGAUCCGCGCUGCAUUAGCUAGUUGGUAAGGUAACGGCUUACCAAGGCAACGAUGCGUAGCCGACCUGAGAGGGUGAUCGGCCACACGGGAACUGAGACACGGUCCAGACGCCUACGGGAGGCAGCAGUAGGGAAUAUUCCGCAAUGGGCGAAAGCAUGACGGAGCAACGCCGCGUGAGUGAUGAAGGUCUUCGGAUCGUAAAACUCUGUUAUUAGGGAAGAACAAAUGUGUAAGUAACUAUGCACGUCUUGACGGUACCUAAUCAGAAAGCCACGGCUAACUACGUG